UACAAAUGCUGGCAACAGGAAAAGCAUAUUUCCAAAGGGCAAGCAUUCAAACAUCUCUCAUCCCCAGUGUGGUUGUGAUGCUACAGACAGAAGAGGAUAAGAAGCCACAGAAAACAGGCUGGAGGAGAAGUGCGGAUUCAGCACAUAAGUUGUCACUUCGCCAGAAUCGAUGAGAAUCAGGAGUCCCUGAAUCGCCUGGGGAUGCUGGUGAAAGCGACACCAUGCGGGAACAGGUGAAUGAAGCUUACCUGGGUCAACGUGCUGCAUGGACGUCAUUUCUGCCCUCCCACCUGGGGAACCAGCCUCCAAAAUAUUAGCAACUUGAGGCAAGGCCAGGGCCCAUGCUGGGGAGGGAGUCACCUUCCCAGUCUCCCUACCCAGAAUCUCCCUCCAGACAUCUUCUUCCCCUGUAGCAGCUAUCAACUUGUUGCCUGCUAACAUGUUAAUGGAGAGGUAAGGCUUAAGAUGUGCCAUUUCCCAGGGAAACUAUGUUUUAAAUCAUCAAAGACAUAGGGAUUAAAUAAUUGAGACAUAAUAGCCAUAUGUGAAUUCCUGAUGCUUGUCAGAGUUCUAAAUUAAUCUAAUUUUCUCCUGCUCCCAUCUAAAGUCCAGAACACAUGCUCCUGUGGGAGGGAAGACUUUGCUACUCACGGUGUGGUUCCCAAACAGCAGCACUGAAGGCAAACCUCAGACCCCUGAAUCAGAAUCUUCACUGUCAUAAAAUCCUCAGAUGGUUCCUAUGCACAAAGAAGUUUGAGAACAUCAGUCUAAGCAAGUGGUUUUCAAACUGUGGGCUGCUACCCGAGAAGUCAAUUUAGUGGUUGUGACCAGGACUUUUUUUUUUUUUUUUUUAAGAUGGGGUCUCACUCUGUUGCCCAGGAUGGAGUGUAGUGACACAGAUCAGAGCUCACUGCAGCCUUGAACUCCUGGGCUCAAGUGAUCCUUCUGCCUCAGCCUCCUGAGUGGCUAAGACCAUAGAUGUGCACCCAGGUAUUUUUUUUUUUCUUUUAGUUUUGUAGGGCUACGCAGGGUCUCACUUUGUUGCCCAAGCUGGUCUUGAACUGCUGGCUUCAAGCAAUCCUCCUGCCUCAGUCUCUUAAAGUGCUGGGAUUUUAGGUAUGAGCCACUGUGCCCAGCCAGAAUUUUUUUUAAAAAGCAAAUUGCACAGAGAAAAUGAGAGUGCACCCAAUGUAGUAAAGGUAAAUAUUGUAAAACAUGUCUCAAUUGCAUAUGGAUACAUUUGAAUGUUGUAUCACCGCGUAAAAUAUGUUUUCCCAGUGGGUCAUUGUCAAAAACAUUUGAAGCCUGCUGAUCUUAUGACAUGGCUGGUUAUUUACAUAUCAAGGCAGUCUAUGUUUUAUUCUUUAACAAAGUUCACCCAUCAGAUUAAUAUUUGCAGCUCAUUAAUUUAAUCUCUAUGCAAAGACACUUGAAUUAAAACAUGCCUUCUAAUGUUCCCUUACUUCUAGCAUGAAGCUUUAUAAGAAAUAUAUGUUGAUCUGUGACUAAUAAAGAUUUACCAUAUUCUUUCUAGAAAAGAACCUUUCCUGAACAAUAGCAUGUUUUUUAUUAGCUAAUGUUAUUUAACCUAUUUUUUUUUUUAGUUUUGACUCUGAUAUGGUUAAGCUUUGUGUCCUCAUCCAAAUCUCAUAUUGAAUUGUAAUCCCCAUAAUCCCCACGUGUCAAGGGAGAGACCAGGUGGAGAUAACUGAAUCAUGGGGGGAGGUUUCCCUCAUGCUGUUAUUGUGAUAGUGAGUUCUCAUGAGAUCUGAUGGUUUUAUAAAGGAGUCUUCUCACUUUGCUCAGCAUUUCUCCUUCCUGCCACCUUGUGAAGAAGAUGCCUUGCUUCCCUUUCG
rnacentral:lncRNA from 1 species